CCUACGGGAGGCAGCAGUGGGGAAUAUUGCGCAAUGGGCGAAAGCCUGACGCAGCGACGCCGCGUGAGGGAUGAAGGUCUUCGGAUCGUAAACCUCUGUCAGCAGGGAAGAACGGUCACUGUGCUAAUCAGCAGUGAAUUGACGGUACCUGCAAAGGAAGCACCGGCUAACUCCGUGCCCGCAGCCGCGGUAAUACGGAGGGUGCGAGCGUUAAUCGGAAUUACUGGGCGUAAAGCGCUCGUAGGCGGUAUGUCAAGUCAAGGGUGAAAUCCCCGCGCUCAACGUGGGAGCUGCCUUUGAAACUGGCAAACUGGAGUGUGUGAGAGGAUAGUGGAAUGUCAGGUGUAGGAGUGAAAUCCGUAGAUAUCUGAAGGAACAUCAGUGGCGAAGGCGACUAUCUGGCACAUAACUGACGCUGAGGAGCGAAAGCGUGGGUAGCAAACAGGAUUAGAUACCCUUGUAGUC
rnacentral:rRNA from 1 species